rnacentral:rRNA from 1 species
UACGUAGGGUGCAAGCGUUGUCCGGAAUUAUUGGGCGUAAAGGGCUCGUAGGCGGUCCAUCACGUCGGGAGUGAAAAGCUGGGGCUUAACCCCAGUCCUGCUUCCGAUACGGGUGGACUAGAGGUAGGCAGGGGAGAACGGAAGUUCCUGGUGUAGCGGUGAAAUGCGCAGAUAUCAGGAGGAACACCGGUGGCGAAGGCGGUUCUCUGGGCCUUACCUGACGCUGAUGCGCGAAAGCCAGGGGAGCGAACGGG